UAGAGUUUGAUCAUGGCUCAGAUUGAACGCUGGCGGCAGGCUUAACACAUGCAAGUCGAGCGGAGAUGAGGUGCUUGCACCUUAUCUUAGCGGCGGACGGGUGAGUAAUGCUUAGGAAUCUGCCUAUUAGUGGGGGACAACAUUCCGAAAGGAAUGCUAAUACCGCAUACGUCCUACGGGAGAAAGCAGGGGAUCUUCGGACCUUGCGCUAAUAGAUGAGCCUAAGUCGGAUUAGCUAGUUGGUGGGGUAAAGGCCUACCAAGGCGACGAUCUGUAGCGGGUCUGAGAGGAUGAUCCGCCACACUGGGACUGAGACACGGCCCAGACUCCUACCGGGAGGCAGCAGUGGGGAAUAUUGGACAUGGGGGAAACCUGAUCCAGCCAUGCCGCGUGUGUGAAGAAAGCCUAUGGUUGUAAGCACUUUAGCGAGGAGG
rnacentral:rRNA from 1 species